AAUGCUCGCUACACGGAGGAAUCAUUACAAGAGUAAAAGUGCGUAAUUUAUUUAUAAAUUUAAAAAAAAAGAAAAGAGAAAAUAAUAUUGAUCUUGGAAAAACGAUAGUGUGAAAGUUGUCGUUGUAAAAAUUCGAGUAAACUGGAAUAUUACAGAUAAAGCCCAUGAGGUAUUAAAGUAAAUAUCCACAACUCUCGAAAUCCUGCAAGAUAGGAUGAUUUUGAAUCAGUGAUUAGGUCUUAUCUGACCAAUUCUUAGAAACUACUAGCUUUAGCAGUAUUUUGGAAAAUCUAAAGCCUUAGCUUGUGCAUGGUCCAGAUAUCACCAAGCACCCAAGUACAAAUAAACCUUACAACUCUCUAACGGAAGCUUAAUAACCUCAACUUAAGUUGCAUACUGACCUAGGAUUUGGGCUUACUUAGUAAUUAAAACAUUGUGUACUUUUGAAAUUCUUGGCACUUAUGCAUUUGAAAUUAGAUUUUAUAAAAUAAUAAAAUAAAUUCUUUCGACAGCAGUUUGUGGGUAUCUGAGUCGGAAACCCUCACGAGACAAAACUCGUCCACUAGGGCCACCUAAGGGUUUAAAGCCUUAUUGCAUACGGUAAAUGCAAUCGCGAUUCCUGCGAAAGUGAGUUCGUUUUUAUUUUGCUCGAGAACUAGCAAAAUGUAGGUUGGAGGGUGUGAUAAGUGCUAAAUAAUGCAUAAAUUAAUAUCUUAUUUAUAGCACUUAUCAUUAUUCUAAUUGAAAUAUUUUGUAAAUUCAAUUAAAAAAUUGUGUUACCUUCAUCAUUGCAUUUUAAUAAAUUAUUAAAGGUAAUUCGAGUUUUACUUAUGUACUGAUUGAGCUUAAUGUAUGCAGGUCAAGUCACGCUUAAUUAGGUAAAGCCUAAACUACACUACAUCAUUUCACAAUUUCACAUUCUCCGGAGUCGACUCUAAGAACUCAUCUCCGAAAUCUAAUGCUAUCCAAAUUUCAAAAUAUACCAUCUUUAGCUGCACGGAUCCUAAAGAAUUUCAGCUUUAUCCCUUCCAAAAUGCUCUGCAUCCUUCCCAGCAAAAN
rnacentral:lncRNA from 1 species